rnacentral:rRNA from 1 species
AAUCCAUAGGUUAAUGAGGCGAACCGGGGGAACUGAAACAUCUAAGUACCCCGAGGAAAAGAAAUCAACCGAGAUUCCCCCAGUAGCGGCGAGCGAACGGGGAGGAGCCCAGAGCCUGAAUCAGCAUGUGUGUUAGUGGAAGCGUCUGGAAAGGCGCGCGAUACAGGGUGACAGCCCCGUACACAAAAGCGCAUGUGCUGUGAGCUCGAUGAGUAGGGCGGGACACGUGGUAUCCUGUCUGAAUAUGGGGGGACCAUCCUCCAAGGCUAAAUACUCCUGACUGACCGAUAGUGAACCAGUACCGUGAGGGAAAGGCGAAAAGAACCCCGGCGAGGGGAGUGAAAAAGAACCUGAAACCGUGUACGUACAAGCAGUGGGAGCACCCUUCGGGGUGUGACUGCGUACCUUUUGUAUAAUGGGUCAGCGACUUAUAUUCUGUAGCAAGGUUAACCGUAUAGGGGAGCCGGAGGGAAACCGAGUCUUAAUUGGGCGUUAAGUUGCAGGGUAUAGACCCGAAACCCGGUGAUCUAGCCAUGGGCAGGUUGAAGGUUGGGUAACACUAACUGGAGGACCGAACCGACUAAUGUUGAAAAAUUAGCGGAUGACCUGUGGCUGGGGGUGAAAGGCCAAUCAAACCGGGAGAUAGCUGGUUCUCCCCGAAAGCUAUUUAGGUAGCGCCUCGUGAAUUCAUCUCCGGGGGUAGAGCACUGUUUCGGCUAGGGGGCCAUCCCGGCUUACCAACCCGAUGCAAACUGCGAAUACCGGAGAAUGUUAUCACGGGAGACACACGGCGGGUGCUAACGUCCGUCGUGAAGAGGGAAACAACCCAGACCGCCAGCUAAGGUCCCAAAGUCAUGGUUAAGUGGGAAACGAUGUGGGAAGGCCCAGACAGCCAGGAUGUUGGCUUAGAAGCAGCCAUCAUUUAAAGAAAGCGUAAUAGCUCACUGGUCGAGUCGGCCUGCGCGGAAGAUGUAACGGGGCUAAACCAUGCACCGAAGCUGCGGCAGCGAACGUAUCACCCAAGACAACUUUACGGAGUUGACGAUUGACGGAGCGAAGCGACGUCAAAGCGUUCAUUAAAGUCGAGUUGGCUUAGGGAUACGUUCGUUGGGUAGGGGAGCGUUCUGUAAGCCUGUGAAGGUGUGUCGUGAGGCAUGCUGGAGGUAUCAGAAGUGCGAAUGCUGACAUAAGUAACGAUAAAGCGGGUGAAAAGCCCGCUCGCCGGAAGACCAAGGGUUCCUGUCCAACGUUAAUCGGGGCAGGGUGAGUCGACCCCUAAGGCGAGGCCGAAAGGCGUAGUCGAUGGGAAACGGGUUAAUAUUCCCGUACUUGGUGUUACUGCGAAGGGGGGACGGAGAAGGCUAUGUUGGCCGGGCGACGGUUGUCCCGGUUUAAGCGUGUAGGUGUGUGUUCCAGGUAAAUCCGGUUCACUUUAACACUGAGGCGUGACGACGAGGCACUACGGUGCUGAAGCAACAAAUGCCCUGCUUCCAGGAAAAGCCUCUAAGCAUCAGGUAACACGAAAUCGUAC